UGGCUCAUUAAAACAGUUACAGUUUACUUGAUAAUAAAAUUUUUACAUGGAUAACCGUGGUAAUUCUAGAGCUAAUACAUGAGCAAAAUCUUGACUUUUUUAGAAGAGAUGCAUUUAUUAGAUAAAAAACCAAUACAUACUUUUUAAGUAUGAAAGUUGGUGAUUUACAAUAACUUAGCAAAUCGCAUAGUGAAAACUGGCGAUAAAUCAUUCAAGUUUCUGACCUAUCAGCUUUCGACGGUAUGGUAUUGGCUUACCGUGGCAGUGACGGUUAACGGGGGAUUAGGGUUCGAUUCCGGAGAGGGAGCCUGAGAAACGGCUACCACAUCUAAGGAAGGCAGCAGGCGCGCAAAUUACCCAAUUCUAACAGCAUAAGAGAGGUAGUGACAAGAAAUAACAAUACAAGGCAGUUAAAAUGCUUUGUAAUUGGAAUGAUAGAAAUUUAAACACUUUUUAAAGUAUCAAUUGGAGGGCAAGUCUGGUGCCAGCAGCCGCGGUAAUUCCAGCUCCAAUAGCGUAUAUUAAAAUUGUUGCAGUUAAAAAGCUCGUAGUUGAAUUUCUGCUUAAAAUAACCGGUCUGCUUUUAACAAAAGUGGUAUCUUGGUGUGUUUUUAGCAAUAAUGUCCUUUGAAAUGUGUUUUACUUUGUUGUAAAAUACAAUAUUCAGGAUUUUUACUUUGAGAAAAUUAGAGUGUUUCUAGCAGGCUAAUGCUUUGAAUACUGCAGCAUGGAAUAAUAAAAUAGGAAUUUGGUUCUACAUUAUUGGUUU
rnacentral:rRNA from 1 species